rnacentral:sRNA from 1 species
CAUGAUCGAUCUGCUGAGGACAAAUGAAGUGAAUGUGGGUGUCAAUGCCCCCAGCGGUGAUGAUGCAUCCCUCACCGGCGAUCACUUCCGUGCCCGCGCCGAUCACCAUAUCAAUGCCAUCCUGCAGCAGAGGAUUACCCGCAUGACCGAUGCCAACAAUGCGACCAUGCUUGAUCCCAAUAUCGGCUUUGAUCACCCCUUGAACGGCAUCUAAAAUCGUCGCGUUGGUGAUGACCAGAUCCAGGCACUCGGCAUCCAGGGCCAAGCACGACUGCGCCAUGCCAUCGCGGAUG